GACGAACGCUGGCGGCGUGCUUAACACAUGCAAGUCGAGCGGUAAGGCCCUUUCGGGGGUACGACGAGCGGCGAACGGGUGAGUAACACGUGGGUGACCUGCCCUCAGCUCUGGGAUAAGCCUGGGAAACCGGGUCUAAUACUGGAUAUGACUCCAUGACGCAUGUUGUGGGGUGGAAAGCCUUGUGCGGCUGAGGAUGGGCCCGCGGCCUAUCAGCUUGUUGGUGGGGUGAGGCCUACCAAGGCGACGACGGGUAGCCGGCCUGAGAGGGCGACCGGCCACACUGGGACUGAGACACGGCCCAGACUCCUACGGGAGGCAGCAGUGGGGAAUCUUGCGCAAUGGGCGAAAGCCUGACGCAGCGACGCCGCGUGA
rnacentral:rRNA from 1 species